rnacentral:lncRNA from 1 species
UUUAUAUCAAUAAAUUUUCAGAGAGUAAAAGAAGCAAGCAAACAAAAAGAAAGUAGAGGGCCGGCGCCGCGGCUCACUAGGCUAAUCCUCCGCCUAGCGGCGCCGGCACACCAGGUUCUAGUCCCGGUUGGGGGGCCGGAUUCUGUCCCGGUUGCCCCUCUUCCAGGCCAGCUCUCUGCUGUGGCCAGGGAGUGCAGUGGAGGAUGGCCCAGGUGCUUGGGCCCUGCACCCCAUGGGAGACCAGGAAAAGCACCUGGCUCCUGGCUCCUGCCAUCGGAUCAGCGCGGUGCGCCGGCCGCAGCAUGCCGGCCGCGGCGGCCAUUGGAGGGUGAACCAAUAGCAAAGGAAGACCUUUCUCUCUGUCUCUCUCUCUCACUGUCCACUCUGCCUGUCAAAAUAAAUAAAUAAAUAAAAAAAAAGAAAGUAGAAGUUUUUUAAAAAGAUGUAUUUAUUGACUUAACUUAUUUGAAAGGCAGAGUUAUGGUGAUCUUCUAUGUAUUGUUUGACUCCCUAAAUGGCUGCAAUAGCCAAAGCUACGACAACCAAAAGCCAGGAGCAUGAAAUGCCAUGUGGGUGACAGAGGCCAAAAUACCCAAGCUAUCAAUACCCUGUCCAUACUCCACUUCUUUCCCAAGCACGUUAGCUGGGAGCUGGAUCAGAAGUGGAGCAGUAGGGAUUCAAACUGGUGGUCAUAUGGAAUGACAGUACUAAAGGUGACAGCUUAGCCUACUGUCCCACAAUAGCAGCCCCUGAACAUGGAAGUUUUAAAUAACUUAUGUAUUUUACAUAUUUCCCUCUCCAGAUUAUUAUACCAUUUCCAAUGGCAUCUCAUCAUCCCAUUAUAAUUGUUAAUAGAGCCAUAAUAAUUGAGAGUUACUGUGGUUCAUAUAUGAUUAAACUGAAAAGCAAACAGCAUAACCAUUCCUAGCAGAAACCUCUGAGAAAUAGAUUGCAUUGUCUACAUUCCCAGUAAUGAGAAAAAUCCUUCAUCAAAGAGAAUGCCCAAUUGACUCAUACCUCUCCAGUAUAAUCUAUAGUCCAUUACGACAAGUCAAUCUUUUUUUUCCUGUAAAGGUUUUCUAAUUCCACAGAAAAGUGUUAAGGAAUUCUAUGACUUAGACUCAAACUGUGUUUAUGAUUCUUCAGUGAACUUAAUGGUGUUGGACUAGAUCUGCUAUGGAUUAUAAAGUCUGUAAGAAGCCAUAAAUAUUUAAAGCAGAUAAAGCAUAUAACUUAGAAUUCAGCUUAGGAUAUUUUUUGAUUAUACUUGGUACUAAAUGUAGUUCUCUUAGUUUGAGAAUUUCCUAUUUAACAUUUUAAAAUGAGAAUAACUAAUCCCAAAUAUAAUAAUUUAAAUUGAAGAUAGUUUCAUUUUGAAGAAAAUAAAUACUGAAUGCUGAAGAGUGAGUCUCUAUGA